rnacentral:lncRNA from 1 species
UUUUAGUAGAGACGGGGUUUCAGGGCCCCAUCACUUUUAAUCCAACCCCCAACCGGGAGUUUCAACUUGUGGUCUCUGGGCAAGAUGGUCGCCCUGAGUAAUAGAAAAGAUAAGAAAGGAAAAGGAAAGAGAGAGAAAGCAGUGCCUGUGGCAGGGUGGGGAAGGUGAAGAGCUCAAGGAGGCCAGAGAAAGACCCAGCCAUUGUAGUGACACUGAAAAGUUCGGGCAGCCGCUUGUCAGUAGCAAAGGGAUCUUUUCCAGCAGUCCCAUCAGCUCUCAAGUUUCCCCCUUUAGGGAGCAAAAAGCCCCCCAUGUCCCAUGAUUCUGUCACCCAUAGCCAUCAGCAAAGAGUGCAAGGCAGAUUAAUCCAAAGAGAAUAGCAGUUAACAUCCCUUAGUGCCAAACAUGUUCUUAGCUGAGAGGGACCUUACUGAGAGGGGCCUCUAACCCCCUAAAUCUUAGGAAGGACUCUAACCCUCCUAAGUUGGGCCUUGAACCCAAGUUCAGUCAAGCUUUCUUGCCUUUUAUUAAGAGUUGCCUUUAACCCACUCUGUCUUAGGAGAGACUCUAACUCCCUUAAGUUGGGCCUCUAACCCAAUCCCACCCUUCACCCGGGUAAAUGCAAAUGACUUACAAGGUCAGCCAAUCAGUGUGCAGUCUAUUUCCUUUGGGUUGGGGGUCUCUUUAGUAUCAUCUCUUCCAUGGUUCACCGGAAAGAUUUUACAAGAAAGUGGUCUCAAUCCAGACCCCAAGGGAGGGUUCUUGGAUCUCACGCAAGAAAGAAUUCAAGGCAAAUCCAUAAGGUGAAAGCAAGUUUAUUAGGAAAGUACAGGAAUAAAAGAAUGGCUAUUCUAUAGACAAAGUAGCCCCAAGGGCUGCUGGUUGCCCAUUUUUAUGGUUAUUUAUUGAUGAUAUGCUGAAGAAGGGGUGGAUGAUUCAUGCCUCCCCUUUUUAGACCAUAUAGGGUAACUUCCUGACAUUGCCAUGGCAUUUAUAAACUGUCAUAGCGCUGGUUGGCAUGUAGCAGUGAGGACGUCCAGAGGUCACACUUGUUGCCAUCUUGGUUUGGGUGGGUUUUGGCCAUCUUCUUUACUGCAACCUGUUUUAUCGGCAAGGUUUUAUGACCUGUAUCUUGUGCUGACCUCCUGCCUCAUCCUGUGACUUAGAAUGUCUAACCUCCUGGGAAUGCACUCCAGCAGGUCUCAGCCUUAUUUUACCGAGCCCCUACUCAAGAUGGAGUGGCUCUGGUUCAAACGCCUCUGACACAGGUGCAUGCAUUGCGGGUGCUGUCAUGAAAGAGGUCAAAGUGUUGCUUUCACAAAAGGAGAUGUGCCCUCUUACUUUGCUUACCUCAAAACAGCUGGGUAAGCCUAGACAUCCUUGGGACCAGGAUGUUGUCUCGGCCUCUCAAGGGACCAGGGACCAGGAGGGCAGGCUUAGCUCAGAGCUCCUGGGCAAUUGUCCUCCAUCCUCACAGCCACCCCGAGGAUGAACAUUUCCCCCCAUUUUCCAGACAAGAAGCCCAAAUCCCAAAGAACUUUCCCAGGGCCAUCUCUCAUGGCCUGCAGGAGGGACUGGAACUCAGGCAGGGCUCUGUCAGGCCUCUGAGCUGGAGCUAAGCCAUUGUAACCCCUGUGACCUGCACGUAUAUAUCCAGAUGCCCAGCAGGAGCCAAGAAGCCUGGAGCAGCCAAGAAACCACAAAAGAAGUGAAACAGUCAGUUUCUGCCUUAACUGAUUAACCAACCUUACGACAUUCCAACAUUAUGACUUGUUCCUGCCCUACCCUAACUGAUCAAUCGACCCUGUGACAUUCUUCUCCUGGACAAUGGAUCUCAUGAUCUCCCCACCAUGCACCUUGUGACCCCCCUCUCCUGCUGACAACAGAUAACUACCUUCAACUCUAACUUUCCACUGCCUACCCAAGUCCUAUAAAGCUGCCUCUCUCCUAUCUUCCUUCGCUGACUCUCUUUUCGGACUCAGCCCACUUGCACCCAAGUGAAUAAACAGCCUUGUUGCUUACACAAAGCCUGUUUAGGUGGUCUUCUAUAUGGAUACGCGUGACAGGCUCCUUCCUCUAGAGGGGGCUGGUUCAAGUUCUGGACUGCCGUCAAGUUAGUCAAGUUUUAAAAAUAUGGAUGACGAUAUGACCACAGUAUUUGGGCUCUGCAGGUGAUGCUAAAGUACAGCCGGCUGAGAACUGCUGCCCUGGGCCAGGGCCGUCCAAUAGAAACACAGCAUGAGCCGAAGAUGUGCUUUUCAUUGUCUAGUGGCCACAUUAAAAAGAUGCAGAUGAAACUCAUUGCAAUAACAUUGUAUUUCACGUGAUGAUUUCAACAUGGGAUCAGUGUCAAAUUACUAGUGAGAUGUUUCAGUCUUUCCAUCACGCUGGCUCUCCACAGUUCCAUGUGUCCUUUGCCUUCACGGCCAUUUCCACGUAGACAGCCGCGCUCCAGGGUGUGAGCGCUUAGCCAGUGCCUGCACUUCUGCUCUGACCUCUCGUUUUACAUGUGGGUAAACUGAGGCCCAGAAUGCUGGGACUCAGAGCAUGCAGUCCUGACCCCUGCUCACAUCGAUGCCCUUGGGAAACAGUCACCUCCCAGGACCUCUCUGCCAGCAUUGCCUGUGGAGUGGGGUCGGGGUAGAGGAUGGGGCCACCUUCCACCCGGCAGGGCCCGGGACUGCGGCUGUGAAGGCUGCACGGCCUCGAACAGGGGCUCCCGUGGGAACGCAGGGCCCCCAGGUGCUGGGCCCUUUCCAGGAGCUGUCGCUGUCAGAAGUCAGGCUUUGCUCCCUUUCCACAUCUGGGUGGGAGAGGCCUGGGAAAAGCUCUGCCUGCCUGCGUGUUUGAUGGGUUAGGUGGAUGGAUGAGUGAGCGCUCCAGUGAAUGAAUGGGUGUUCCCAUUCUCGCUUCUGCCGCCCCGUCCACUUUCUGGGUACUCAAGCGAACUGCCCCAGGCAGGAGUUAGACUCCCCAAGGUCAAGGAAUGGCUGUGACUGGACUCACUUUCCUGGUGAAUCUGGCGGUUGCCAGAUUCUGAGAGUUUUAGUCCUGAGACCAGCACCUGCUCCAGCCAGUGUCUCAGCCACCCCCAGAGAAACAGUGGCCUCAGAAAAGGAUUCUGGAAGAGGAAAGAGUGGCUGGCAUUUCUGAUAUUUUUCCUGGGUCCUGACCAACUAAACCUAGAAGGAAGCAGCAGCUCUUACCCCCAUCCACACCCCCAGAUUUCUUCUAGGUAGAAAGCUGAAAGCAUUGACAGUGAGAAUUCAAAUCCCUGUGGAGGUCAGUGAAGCCCACCCAGGCAGGCCAGGCCGAGACUCUCUGUCCAGAGCUUGCUGUGGGAGGGCAGUCACCACCAUCACGUGCAAUCUCAAAGCCUCUGAGUCACCAUCACAUGCAAUUUCAGAGCCUCUGAGUCAGGCAGGGGAUGGGGCCUCACUAAGGCAAAGGAAGCCCAGGUCCCGUGCAGGCUGCAGCUGGGUGUGCUGGGGGUGGCUCAUCAGACGGGCGGUGAGGGGUUGGUGAGGGAGCAUGUGUGGCUUUCUCUGGUUGGCUCUGAGUUGGAAGCGAGGACAAAAGCCAUAGGACCUGUCGGUGAUGGAUGCAUUCCUGGCCCUCUGGGGCCGGCUGGUCCAGGGAUUGCGUUGUGGCUGCCUGAGUCGUCGCUAGAGGAGGUCUGACUUCUGGCAAGUCUGACUGUGGAGCAGGCCAGCCCCCUGGACUGGCUGCUGCAGGUGUGCUUGGCUCUGUUUUGAUGGUUGUGCUCGUCAUUGUUUGUAUUUCAGCCUCUCCUAUCUCAAAAAAUUCAACCAUCAGCAGUUACACAUGGUUUUAAAACAAAGAGCUUCCUAACCUUGUUCCACUUGCUGGCUUCAUCUCUACCUAAAGCGUUUUUCUAGCCCUGACCAAUCUCCCCGAGGGUAGGGAGGCCCGUGGAAGGGUCAAGGCAGCCUUUCGCCCUGGGCAGCUCACCACGGGGUGGCUCGGCCUCCUGCCUCUCUUUGGCCCCCAAAGCCCUGACUGCUCUCCGAGCAGGAACGCGCCUCCCCGCAGCUGGGCCUCCAUCCGCCCAUCUCAGGGAAUCCCAGGGUGUCUGCAGCUUGAGGAGUUUGGGUCCCCAGGAGGCCACUCCCAGCUUCGGGCAUGGAGUGGACUGGGUCACACUGGGACAGGUCAGGGACUGUGGGUACAGUUGUUAGAGAUGGAGAGUUGCAGAGACAGCCCAUCCGCCAUGGACGGGGGUGAUCCCCAGUAACAAUGGGGCAACCGAAGCCAGAGUUGGCCAGGAAGUUCAGACAGUGCCCCAGGAGGGCUCACUUCUUAGGGCUGGUCAGCUGAAUCCUGUCCUCUGCCUGCCCCAAUCUGCCCUGGGGACAGGGCAUUUGCCCUUGGUGGGUGCUCUGUUACUGCUGACCUGCUGUGCCUGCUCACAGCUAUAGAAUCCUGA